ensembl:snRNA U6 U6 spliceosomal RNA
GUGCUCACUUCGGCAGCACAUAUACUAAAACUGGAAUGAUACAGAGAAAAUUAGCAUGGCCCCUGUGCAAGGAUGACAUGCAAAUGUGUAAAGCAUUCCGUAUUUUU